UCGGACGUGGUGUACGGAACACGACCAGCAUUCUUAAUAGGUGAAAAUUGCCAUCAUGAUGCUUGCAGCCCGGGGUUCGAUUCCCCGCGUCCGAA